UUGAACGCUGGCGGCAGGCCUAACACAUGCAAGUCGAACGGUAACAGGAAGCAGCUUGCUGCUUUGCUGACGAGUGGCGGACGGGUGAGUAAUGUCUGGGAAACUGCCUGAUGGAGGGGGAUAACUACUGGAAACGGUAGCUAAUACCGCAUAACGUCGCAAGACCAAAGAGGGGGACCUUCGGGCCUCUUGCCAUCGGAUGUGCCCAGAUGGGAUUAGCUUGUUGGUGGGGUAACGGCUCACCAAGGCGACGAUCCCUAGCUGGUCUGAGAGGAUGACCAGCCACACUGGAACUGAGACACGGUCCAGACUCCUACGGGAGGCAGCAGUGGGGAAUAUUGCACAAUGGGCGCAAGCCUGAUGCAGCCAUGCCGCGUGUAUGAAGAAGGCCUUCGGGUUGUAAAGUACUUUCAGCGGGGAGGAAGGGAGUAAAGUUAAUACCUUUACUCAUUGACGUUACCCGCAGAAGAAGCACCGGCUAACUCCGUGCCAGCAGCCGCGGUAAUACGGAGGGUGCAAGCGUUAAUCGGAAUUACUGGGCGUAAAGCGCACGCAGGCGGUUUGUUAAGUCAGAUGUGAAAUCCCCGGGCUCAACCUGGGAACUGCAUCUGAUACUGGCAAGCUUGAGUCUCGUAGAGGGGGGUAGAAUUCCAGGUGUAGCGGUGAAAUGCGUAGAGAUCUGGAGGAAUACCGGUGGCGAAGGCGGCCCCCUGGACGAAGACUGACGCUCAGGUGCGAAAGCGUGGGGAGCAAACAGGAUUAGAUACCCUGGUAGUCCACGCCGUAAACGAUGUCGACUUGGAGGUUGUGCCCUUGAGGCGUGGCUUCCGGAGCUAACGCGUUAAGUCGACCGCCUGGGGAGUACGGCCGCAAGGUUAAAACUCAAAUGAAUUGACGGGGGCCCGCACAAGCGGUGGAGCAUGUGGUUUAAUUCGAUGCAACGCGAAGAACCUUACCUGGUCUUGACAUCCACAGAACUUUCCAGAGAUGGAUUGGUGCCUUCGGGAACUGUGAGACAGGUGCUGCAUGGCUGUCGUCAGCUCGUGUUGUGAAAUGUUGGGUUAAGUCCCGCAACGAGCGCAACCCUUAUCCUUUGUUGCCAGCGGUCCGGCCGGGAACUCAAAGGAGACUGCCAGUGAUAAACUGGAGGAAGGUGGGGAUGACGUCAAGUCAUCAUGGCCCUUACGACCAGGGCUACACACGUGCUACAAUGGCGUAAACAAAGGGAAGCAGCCUCGUGAGAGUGAGCAAAUCCCAAAAAUAACGUCUCAGUUCGGAUUGUAGUCUGCAACUCGACUACAUGAAGCUGGAAUCGCUAGUAAUCGCAGAUCAGAAUGCUGCGGUGAAUACGUUCCCGGGCCUUGUACACACCGCCCGUCACACCAUGGGAGUGGGUUGCAAAAGAAGUAGGUAGCUUAACCUUCGGGAGGGCGCUUACCACUUUGUGAUUCAUGACUGGGGUG
rnacentral:rRNA from 1 species